rnacentral:rRNA from 1 species
UACGUAGGGCGCAAGCGUUAUCCGGAAUUAUUGGGCGUAAAGAGCUCGUAGGCGGUUAGUCGCGUCUGCUGUGAAAACUCGGGGCUUAACUCCGGGCCUGCAGUGGGUACGGGCUGACUAGAGUGCGGUAGGGGAGACUGGAAUUCCUGGUGUAGCGGUGAAAUGCGCAGAUAUCAGGAGGAACACCGGUGGCGAAGGCGGGUCUCUGGGCCGUAACUGACGCUGAGGAGCGAAAGCGUGGGGAGCGAACAGG